rnacentral:ncRNA from 2 species
ACCAACUUGACGGAGUGCCAUCGUCUGAUGGCUGAGAGCGUAAGCAAUCCGUUGAACCUGAUACAGUUCGUACUGUCGUAGGAAUCAAGUUAUUUGUUGCA